GGCCUGGUGGUCUAGUAGUAUGAUUCCUUGUUAGGGUGUUCGUUAAUUUCGAGGAGGUCCCGGGUUCAAUUCCCGGCCAGGCCC